GCGCUAUCUGCUCUCUGCAAGCACUUAGACAACCUGUGGGAAGAACACCGUGGCAGCGUGGUCCUGUUUGCCUGGAUGCAGUUUCUUAAGGAAGAGACCUUAGCGUACCUGAAUAUUGUCUCUGCUUUUGAACUCACGAUGGGUUCUCAGAAAAAGGUUCAGAGAAGGAUGGCUCAAGCUUCUUCCAACACAGAGCUAGAUUUUGGAGGACCCACUGGAUCUGACAUAGACCAAGAGGAAGUUGUGGACGAGAGAGCCGUGCAGGAUGUGGAAUCAUUGUCGAGUCUGAUCCAGGAAAUCUUGGACUUUGAUCAAGCUCAGCAGAUAAAAUGCUUUAAUAGUAAAUUGUUCCUGUGCAAUAUCUGUUUCUGUGAGAAACUGGGUAGUGAGUGCAUGUACUUCUUGGGGUGCAGGCAUGUGCACUGCAAAGCCUGUCUCAAGGACUACUUUGAAAUCCAGAUCAGAGAUGGCCAAGUUCAAUGCCUCAACUGCCCAGAACCCAAGUGCCCUUCAGUGGCCACUCCUGGUCAGGUCAAAGAGCUAGUGGAAGCAGAGCUGUUUGCCCGUUAUGACCGCCUUCUCCUCCAGCCAACCUUGGACCUGAUGGCCCAUGUGGUGUACUGCCCCCGCCCAUCCUGCCAGCUGCCUGUGAUGCAGGAGCCUGGCUGUACCAUGGGCAUCUGCUCCAGCUGCAAUUUCGCCUUCUGUACCCUGUGCAGACUGACCUACCACGGGGUCUCUCCAUGUAAGGUGACAGCAGAGAAAUUAAUGGACUUACGAAAUGAGUACCUGCAAGCAGAUGAGGCCAAUAAAAGAUUUUUGGAACAGAGGUAUGGUAAGAGGGUGAUUCAGAAGGCACUGGAAGAGAUGGAAAGUAAGGAGUGGCUAGAAAAGAACUCAAAGAGCUGCCCAUGUUGUGGAACUCCCAUUGAGAAAUUAGAUGGAUGUAACAAGAUGACAUGUACUGGCUGUAUGCAAUAUUUCUGCUGGAUUUGCAUGGGUUCUCUUUCUAGAGCAAACCCUUAUAAACAUUUCACUGAUCCUGCUUCCCCGUGUUUUAACCGGUUGUUCCAUGCUGUGGAUGUUAAUGGAGAUAUUUGGGAAGAUGAGAUUGAAGACUAGUUAACUUCUACUGCUCAAGAUAUGGAAGUGGAAUGGCUUGCCCUAAUCUUUUGUCAAGUAUACAGAGUAACUUUGCAGGAUAUUUAGGGUGCCAUUGAUUUAGUCUUCCUAUGUAGAAGAUAUGGAAGAACAAGGUUUUAUUUUCAUGUGGUACUACUGAUUAAGGCACAUGUAUACAUUUUUUCACUGCAGCAUAAUUGAGGAAGUAUUAAGCCAAAGGUUCAGAAAAUGAAAACUAGAAAAUAUUAAAUAUUACAAUGUGCCCAAAGCUUUGAAUAGUUAAAAUUAAAUAUUUAUUUUCUUCUCCAAGCUUUAGGGAAAGAGAGAGGGGUCAAGAGUUAAAGACCUUUUUAUCUCUGAGAAGCAUCCCUCUAAGACAUUCUGUGGGAGCUCUCUCAGUAGUACUCCUUAACACUUGGGGUAGGUAGAAGCCUUACUAAAAUUGUGCCGAGAGCCUGAUCUUAUUUACUCAGUAUUACAUUCUUUCCAACCUGAUUUCUGCUAAUUUUAUUUGGAGGAAGCCCCUUACUCUCUAACUGAUUAGAUGGCCCCGUGUCAUUUUGAUCUGCUGCUUUUCAGAAUAGAAAUUUACAGAUAAUUUAAAAAAUAUUUUUUAGUACGUAAACACUGUAGGUCACCUAAUAUAUUUUAUCAGUGGUCUAUAGUCCACUGGUUUUGAGCCAAGUCUAGAAUUUAUUGAUAGUGGCUUAGAAGAAUUUCAGCCCUUUUAAACUUUCCUGCUGCUUCUAGGCAGUAGAGCCUAGAUUCAGAACGACUUGCCUUUGCUACCUUUUGUUCUACAUUCUCUCCGGUUGACCCUUGCCCUACCUUUCAUUGGUAAGGACAAUUUUCAUAUUAGCUCCAACAGCUCAUAUUUUUAUUUCCCCUGCUGGGAUAGGAGAAAGCCUAAUAUAUUCCCAAGCUGAGCUUUAAUUAUCUGCGUUUUGAACACUGCACCACCAUAGUUCCAGAGCUAAGUUUCUGAAUUCUUUUUAAAAGGGCUUCUCUAACGUGCUAUGGAAAUUUGUUUUCCUAUCCUCUCUCUUUUUUUUUUUUUUUGGCAUCAGCACUGUUUCAGGGGAUGAUUUUUGGCUUGAUACCUAGAUCCCUGUUCUUGGGUUUUGUUGGCUUUUUGAAAAAUUGUCUUUCCUUAUGGUUUGGUGAGUGGGUUGGUAGCAAAAUAAGAUUUUUGGUAAAAAGGAUAGAAGAAUUCAGCUAAAGCUGUGAACAUGUUCUUUUUUCCUACCUUGUCAUUGAAAAUUGGGGAAUCGCUUUUAACCAUUUUAUGUGUGUGUAUCCAAAGAGCAUGGACUGUUUCUGGAUUGUCAAUGAGGAUGCUAUAUCUUAAAAAUAAAAAUUAUUUAAAAAUUG